GAUGAACGCUAGCUACAGGCUUAACACAUGCAAGUCGAGGGGCAGCAUGGACAUAGCUUGCUAUGUUUGAUGGCGACCGGCGCACGGGUGCGUAACACGUAUCCAAUCUGCCCGUUACUCGGGGAUAGCCUUCUGAAAGGAAGAUUAAUACCCGUUGGCAUGUAUUUCCGGCAUCGGAGAUACAUUAAAGAUUUAUCGGUAACGGAUUGGGAUGCGUACGAUUAGCUUGUUGGCGGGGUAGCGGCCCACCAAGGCAACGAUCGUUAGGGGUUCUGAGAGGAAGGUCCCCCACACUGGAACUGAGACACGGUCCAGACUCCUACGGGAGGCAGCAGUGAGGAAUAUUGGUCAAUGGUCGGAAGACUGAACCAGCCAAGUAGCGCGAAGGAUGACUGCCCUACGGGUUGUAAACUUCUUUUGUUUGGGAAUAAAAGACGCUACGUGUAGCGUUCUGCAUGUACCUUACGAAUAAGCAUCGGCUAAUUCCGUGCCAGCCGCCGCCGUAAAAC
rnacentral:rRNA from 1 species